GAGCUGUUCACCGUUUUAGAAAAGCACAUGACUGAUGGCAGCACUGCCCUGGCACCAAAGGAGCUGAUACACGGAAACACCGUGUCAGGGGCUGUGCAGCCACGCUAAUGCUACAUUUAGAUGCAAGAAUUUGACAGCUUCAUUACUGUGAUUGUCCCUGAGCACUUAUGUAAGGAAAGAGGCUGUUCUCCCCACCAGCUCCCAGGCCCACAGCAUCUGUGCCUGAGUUCCUCAGCAUUUGGAGAGGAGGUGGCCACUGGUUGUACUGACCCCAGACCGCUGUCAUAGGGAAGCUUCCUGACACUAACGGGGAAAAGAAACAGUGGCCAGAGACUGUUUCCUGAAAAAUGUGCAGGAAGGGUAAUGCGGAGGCCAAGACAAAUGUGUGGGAUGAGCUCCAGCCGGGCCUCAAAACAGAAGCUGAUGACA
rnacentral:lncRNA from 1 species